AUGGAGCACCAGAUGUUCAACGACCCGUUCACGAGCAGCAUGUCGUCACUGGAGGCGGACAUCUUCUCCGGUGGACACCACCACCUCGCGCCGUCCCUGCAGUUGCCGGGCCUAGACCUAGACCACGACAUCCCGGCGGCGCCGGCUGCCAACAACGCCACCUCCUCCGGCGGCUCGAGGUCCCACCGAAAGAUGAGCCACAGCGCGUACGAGCGCGACAGCCGCAAGCAGCUCAACGAGCAUUAUUCCAACCUUCGCUCCCUCCUCCCCGACGAUGAUCAUCACACCAGGAAGCUGGGCAAUCCGACCAUUGUGUCGCGGGUGAUCAAGUACAUCCCGGAGCUGCAGAAGGAGGUAGACGGCCUGGAGAAGAAGAAGGAGCAGCUGACGCGGGCCAGCUGCAGGCCGGGAGAUGGCACGGCUCCUAUCGUCUCCGCCACCUGCCUUGACGACAGGGAAAUCAUGGUCCAGGUCAGCCUGCUGAACACCAUGGCCGGUGCGCUGCCCAUGUCCAAAUGCAUCAAGGUGCUGGAGAACCAAGGCCUCUGCCUCAUCAGCUCGUCCGCUUCGGCUUUUCAGAACAGGACCUUCUACAGCCUUCAUCUUCAGGUACACACAUGGAUCUUCUGA
rnacentral:rRNA from 1 species